UUAUUAUAGUAUUAAUGAAUGGGUGUUUUUAUAAUGGCCCUGUUAUAUGUCCAAGGUCUGUUAUAAUGGUCGAGGAAGUCUGUAAUGGCCCGAGGCAACGCCGAGGGCCAUUACAGACAUCCGAGGCCAUUAUUACUGACCAAGGACAUAUAACAGAGCCAUUAUAAAAACACCCAUUUCUUAAUACAUUUAUUAACCAACUGAAUAACAGUGUAUGUGUUAAUAUACCAAAUAUUCAAGAUAUUAAGUUGACAGAAGUUAUGUGUUGAAAAACAGGAGGAACAGUGAUCCCUAUAUAUGGUUCUUUAAUGUUGGUUGCUGGUUAUUAAAUUAAAUAAAAUACAAAAAAGUAUUAUACUCUUUACAACUUAAUUUUAUUAACUUUAUUAAAAACCCUUACUGUGCUUUAUACAGACAAACCGGGCA
rnacentral:lncRNA from 1 species